CGCCACCAUGCCCGGCUAAUUUUUCUACUCCUAGGAGAGGUGGGGUUUCAUCAUGUUGGCCAGGCUGGUCUCAAACUCCUGACCUCAGAUGAUCCGCCUGCCUCGGACUCCCAAAGUCCUGGGAUUACAGGCAUGAGCCACCAUGCCCGGCCAACAGUAUCUUUCACAGAGCAGAAAGUUUUAAAUUUUAAUGAAGUAUUACUUAAUUUUUUU
rnacentral:lncRNA from 1 species